rnacentral:misc_RNA from 1 species
AAAGUCGUAACAAGGUUUCCGUAGGUGAACCUGCGGAAGGAUCAUUACCUUUGGUUGUGGAUUGUGGUUUACCAUGAUCCUACAGCUUCAACCCUUGAUUUUUGAGUACCUUUGUUUCCUUGGUAGGGCGACCUGCCAUAGGACCUUUUUAAACCACCCUGUAUUGAAAUCAGCGUCUGAAACUUUGAAUUAUUACAACUUUCAACAACGGAUCUCUUGGUUCUG